GUGGGGAAUCUUGCGCAAUGGGCGAAAGCCUGACGCAGCCAUGCCGCGUGAAUGAUGAAGGUCUUAGGAUUGUAAAAUUCUUUCACCGGGGACGAUAAUGACGGUACCCGGAGAAGAAGCUCCGGCUAACUUCGUGCCAGCAGCCGCGGUAAUACGAAGGGGGCUAGCGUUGCUCGGAAUUACUGGGCGUAAAGGGCGCGUAGGCGGACAGCUUAGUCAGAGGUGAAAGCCCAGGGCUCAACCUUGGAAUUGCCUUUGAUACUGGCUGUCUUGAGUUUGGGAGAGGUGAGUGGAACGCCGAGUGUAGAGGUGAAAUUCGUAGAUAUUCGGAAGAACACCAGUGGCGAAGGCGACUCACUGGCCCAAUACUGACGCUGAGGCGCGAAAGCGUGGGGAGCAAACAGGAUUAGAAACCCUUGUAGUCC
rnacentral:rRNA from 1 species